GCGGGGCCAUGUGGAGUUUGUUAUGAAGAGUGGAGUGGUGUCUGUUGUCGCGACCUGUUGGAGAGUGGUGGGGCCACAUGGAGUUUGUUACGGAGAGGAGUGGUGUUUAUUGUCGUGACCUGUCGGAGAGUGGUGGGGCCACAUGGAAUUUAUUACGGAGAGGAGUGGUGUUCGUUGUCGCGACACGCCAGGAAGUUCGGGCCGGAUGGCUGAAGCUCGGUUGGAUUUCUGGUGGAGCGGAAUAGCUCUCUGUCACAGCAAUCUUGGAGAAGGUUGGAUGUCUCCGAGGUUGCAG
rnacentral:lncRNA from 1 species